rnacentral:rRNA from 1 species
UGGGGAAUAUUGCGCAAUGGGCGAAAGCCUGACGCAGCGACGCCGCGUGAGGGAUGAAGGUUUUCGGAUCGUAAACCUCUGUCAGAAGGGAAGAAACCGCACUGUGCUAAUCAGCAGUGCCUUGACGGUACCUUCAAAGGAAGCACCGGCUAACUCCGUGCCAGCAGCCGCGGUAAUACGGAGGGUGCAAGCGUUAAUCGGAAUUACUGGGCGUAAAGCGCACGUAGGCUGCUUUGUAAGUCAGGGGUGAAAUCCCACGGCUCAACCGUGGAACUGCCUUGGAUACUGCUUAGCUUGAAUCCGGGAGAGGGUGGCGGAAUUCCAGGUGUAGGAGUGAAAUCCGUAGAUAUCUGGAGGAACAUCAGUGGCGAAGGCGGCCACCUGGACCGGUAUUGACGCUGAGGUGCGAAAGCGUGGGGAGCAAACAGG